GUCAACUAUCAUAUCACGUAGAAAGCACCGGUUCUUGUCUGAUCGCCAAAGUUUAGCAUCGCUGGACCCGUUUAGUACUUGCAUGGUCGACCGGCUGGAAAUACCAGGUGUUACCGACG
rnacentral:rRNA from 1 species